AUGAGCUGCGGGAGCUGGAGAAAAUCAAGACCGAGUGCCUUGAUUGGAUUAAUACCUGCAAUCUCCUGCUUUCUGAAUUCAAAGGCUCUCCAGUCUCCUUACUGAGUUUAGAAGAGCAGAGGAACCUGUUUGGGCCUCAGGAGACCCAGCCACAGAUGCACUCAAUUGUUGUGGACUCUUUACCUGAAGAAAUUUCUGAGACUUCUUCUGAACUUGGGAAAGACAAAACUGAAGAUGUUGAUGUUGAUAAGAAAUCUGUGAAAGGGGAAGAAGUGUUAGGGGAAAAGGAGCCACCUGUGCCAGACGUCAGCAGUGACGUCCCAACUGUAAGCAGUGAGAUAAUGGAGGACACCAUCAGAUACCUAGGACAUGACUCCAACAUCCAUUUGAAAUCCCUCAAGUCAACAGCGGUGUCGGUCUCUGGGAGAGAGAUGACUGCCAGCAAAUCAACAACCCCAUAUUCUCAAAAGGAGUUUGAGACCUUGGCUUCACUAGAACGUCUGCAAGAGCAGCUCCUAGAAGCUGAGAUCCGUGCUCAGGAUGCAGAGGAGAGAUCAGAAAGUCUGGAUGAGCAUCUGGAAGAAGCUCUGGGGAGAAUCCAGGAUCUAGAGAAACAGCUGGAAAAAGCACUCAAAGCCCAGGAAGUAGCACCAAAACCAGAAGUCCCUUCCCAAGAAGAAUCCAAGCCAACUUCUCAUAAACCAUCUGCCGCUGCCCGGUCCAGGAAAACCAGCAGACCCAAACAUUAAAGAGUAGCAAUGCCCAGCGAAAGUCGUUUGGUUCCCAUUUGUAGUAGACUUUCAGCAUAACACUGCCCAUCUCUGGGGCUCCAGAUACACUUUAAUUCCAAGUUCUUUAGUAUAGCAAAAUGACUGGAACACCCUCUAAUGCACCCUCCCAAGGAGAGCUUUAGACAAAGCACUGGAGAGGAUCUUUUCUUGGUUUAUAAAUUAUCUGAAAACCUCACGCUGGGUAAUGCAGUGUUUUAGUGUAGUUGCCAGUCAUAAGUGGAGACUGGACUAGAACAGAACUUGUAGAAAAGGCUUUCAGGCCUUCUCAAUGUAUCUGUUAGUAGAGUCUUUUAAGAGAUCAGGUCAUAAACUUAUCACAGGCUAGCUGUACUGCCUCAGUUGGAACUUUGGGAUAAAUUGUCCAGAUCUCAGAUCCAUUCAUAAGUGCUCAGCUUGUAAACAUAAAUCUUGGGAUGGUUUCUUCCAGGUAUGGAGACAGAGGGAGGCUCCUGGGCCAGGUCUUUCUCAGAGUGGGACACAGGAUACUUUCUAAGUACUUAGAGGGGAGGUUUCCAACUAAUUUAUACAGGCGCAGUGUAUAGAAAAAGAAAAAAAGUUCUGUUCAGUGUUGCUUGAGAAAUAAUUAAGGCAGCAGACUCAGAAUACCUCUUCUGAGAGCCAUCAUUUCCAUGGUUAUUAUCCUUUUACAAGAUGUCCAUGGCUUUUGAUACUUUGGGACUUCUGUUAACAUGGGUGGUGAAUAGGAAAGUGCAACUCGGUUGGACUCACCCCUGCGGCGCCUCCUGCUGGUCAUCCAUGGGAAUUAGCUCUUCCAGCAUCCGGAUCGCCCUCUGCAGGCCAGUGAUCCACCUUACCACUGGCCCCCCCGUGUCCCUCCCAGAAC
ensembl:lncRNA